CAGAUGACCCGCCGUAUGGCCUUGACCCAGUCAUCCAUGUCUGUCUGGGAGUUGGCCAUGAGCAGGAAGGAUUCAUGGCUGAUUGGUGCACGGUCCUUCUCUCCUGUUCCACCUGGAAACACACAUGUAACAGCAUGAAGUCUUACCUGGCACAAUCUCAAAAAGAUGUCUUCCCGGUUCGUCUGGGUUGGCUGUGAGUUCGUUCACCUGGCAUCCCUGCAGAGACCACUCCAUCCCAUCCGACAACUGCUUACUCCCCAACUCCCAAAGCUCAAGGUGAUCUUCAGCAACAGCUGUCCAACCACAACACAGCUAAAACCUGGUCCAUUAUCACGUCGCCAUUAAAGGCAAAUAACAUCACUGGGUUUGAGAGAACCUUAUGAAAUAUUGACGCGGAGGAUGAUUAAAAUUUCAUCAUAGCAGGGCGGGACGGUGUUAAAACAAGCCAGUGGAGAUGGGGCGGCGGUGUCUGGACCGUUAAAGGUGUGACUGUUGACUUAGCGUUAUUUAUUGAUCGGGCACGACCGGCUGCAGUGGGCCUUUUUCAUUCGUCUGUUUUGCUGUGUCUGCUAUAUUUCAAUCGUAUUCCUUAAAUUGCAAUACAAAAUGUUGAGUGUCACCCUACCAAUGCAAUUGAAAAUGGCGGGAACAAACAAUACACGCCCGAGUCACCAUCUCACCCUCACGUCGCCAUUAGGACAAAGAAAGUCGUAUGAUGUCUUUCUAAGAGAGUCGUUGGACAGACUAAAGGGGCACAAAGUAGACAGGUGUUGCUCUUUAACCCCUUUUAGCUGCCGUCUCGCUCGUCUGUCAGCGACAAUUAGCACAUGGCCAUGACGUCAUCCACUAAUGCAAUGAAGAGAGCUGACAGGAUAAGCAGACUGUGACAAAAUGGCAGCAACCUGCUUUUUAUCUUUUCUUUUAAAUAUUCAUUGAAUUUCAUUCUGAAAUUGCAUGAAUUGAAUUUAUUCUGUUCAUUUUUAUUCUUUCAGGGUGUUCACAUGCAGCGGUUGGAUGAUAACUAACUGUAUUGGCAAUGGGAUGGUUUCUUUGGAAUUAAGCUCAGAAAUAUUUACAUUUUCUUUCAUAUGAUGAGGUUGGUGAAAGCACGCAAAUUUAAAAAUGAUGAAAUGGGAGCUUGCUUCAUGGACCGUGAACCCCAUUUCAGAAUAUAACGUUUCCCAUUUUAUUAGUGUUUUAUUAGUUUUACUGCCACCUAGUGGUGAACUAGUAGAACGCAAUCACCUAAAUUUGAAGCAUGAGUAUUUCAAACUUUAGCAGAAUUGCAAGCUCAAAUAAAUUAAUAUUCCCUAUCGUGCCAAAGUUCAUUGAACCAGCUUGUAUGCACAACCCAUGUAACAUUAGUCAUUACGAGACCUACGAUUAUAUAUAUUUGUUAAAUUGAUCCAACAGAACUUAUUUUUUUGCAUAUUAUUGCAAUUUAUAGUGUCUUUAUAAAAUGAAUUAACAAUGAAAAAUUAAAAAUGGUUGGAAAGAUAAAUUACAAUUUAAAACUGAAAGGCCGCCCUGGAUCAAGCAGUUAUUUCCUGCUACCAGGAUUGUUAAAAACAAAUUAUACACACUACAGUAUUUACAAACAAGGAGUAACAUUAAUGGUGAAAUAUUGCCAACAGCUACGUCUUCUUAAUGGGCAAGAAACAGCUUGCUAAUGUGUCUUAUCAUAUGAUCUCCCUUCGAUAACGCAAGUGACUCGUUUGUUGAGACAUAUCAGCAAAUGACAAAUCCAACUUGGAAGAUAGUGCCGCAUUCACUUUGGCCUUUCCAGUCUCAUUUCCUAGAGUCCAAUCGACCUCUCAGCCGAUAUGGGAACCAAAGCCCGGUAAUUCAAAUUAAUUCUAUUUGUGGCCACGAGCUUGGCUGUCGAGGCAAUAUUAUUCAUUCUGCCUGCCCGAGUGACAUACACAGAGAAAGAGAAGCGGGAUGGAGAGCAAACUAAUGGAAUAGCUGAGUAGGGAAGCAAGGAGUCUCAGAAAUAAAGUCCUCUAUUUGUGUGUGCAUUGCUGGGAAUUGAUUUUCAAUAGUGCCGGCAGAGUGCAUGCAUCCAGGAGCAUUGUGCAGUGAGCAUUCGAUUGUCAAAAAAAAAGGCCACAGGGUCAACCAAGGUCUUGAUUUAUCAGUGAUUUGUAUUCAAAGAUCUGAAGGAUUGGAUUAUUUUCAUUCUGAAUUUCAAGUACAUCAAAUUGGAUGUGGAUUACACUAAGGUCACACCCGCAGCUCGGCUAAGUCCAUACCAGAAUCCUAAUGAAUUUAUCUUUUGAGAUCUGUCCACUCAGCACUUCUCAGCUCAGCCAUGUGGUUAAAAAAAAAAAAAAAAAGACAAGUGAGUGGACUGCGAGGUUAUUUGCACUUUUUUCAAGUCUUAUCGACCGCUGGCGACCAGAAAUCGGCGCGAAGGGAAGAAUUGAUUAUCUUCUGGAAAUAAUGUGGUGAACAAACAAGUGUUAAAGCAAUCAACAGAUUAGUCACUGCUUUUACCACCCAUUUAAUUAUUCAUGCAAAUGGACUUAUACAUUUAUAUUGUUACCUAGAAUAAAAAAAUCAUUGAAAUUAAUUUCCUUGGAAUUUUACUGAGUGACUAUCUUUAUGACCAGAAGUCUUUGCAGCCCUCUAGUGGACACAAAUCGAUUUUCUGCUGCUUAAGGGUUUAUCAGGGGUCAGGAAAAUUUGGCUACUGGCAUUCAUUCCCAAAACAGUGUCCAAAUAGAUUUAGGUAACGGUCUUCACUCGUGGCACGUGCACAGUAGCCUUAACUUGUCGUGCGUUCAGCAGCUUCUUUCUGUCUGCUCUGCAAUUCUCAAGGCAGACCUCACAUAGAUUGUACGCAUUAGCCAUGAAAAAUGUUUUCGGGAGAGCCAUUUUCUUCAAGUCUGGGGGCGGAGGAAAGGGAUUUCUGUCCAGGUUGAUUUUUUUCAACUUUGGGAGGUUUUCCAAGCACUUGGGCACAACGGAAAAUCUGUUGUCAGAGAGGCCGAUGUAGACGAGCUCAUGCAAGUCCCCGAUGGCUGUGGGGAGUAUUUGAAGCUUGUUGAGACCCAAGUAGAGCUUCUGGAGGUUCUGCAGCAAGCCCAGCUCCUUGGGGACUUGUUUUAGACGGUUGUUGCACAAAUUCAAAACCACCAGGGUCUUUAGGAGCCCGACGGUUGGGGGGAUUUUCUCCAGCUGAGGCCCAAAACAGAAAAGUUGUCACAAAGAACCCGGCAAUAAUAACAGCUCCAUACGGCCAUGUUGUACUCACAUAGUUGCUGUGCAGGUCCAAAACUUGGAUUUUGGUGAAGUCACGAAGAAAGUCAGGCAGCUCAACGAUGAGGUUCCUGCCCAGGAUCAGUUCCUCGACUCGCCACAGUUUCUGGAUGCUUUCUGGGACUGCGUCAAACUCUUUGAAGCUGAGAUUGAGGCACUGUUUGCCAUCCCCCAACAGUUUAAUGCAAUCCAUGGCCAUUUCGAUGCUGAAGACCUUGCUCAGUGGAAUGAUUUUUUUCUUCUUCUUCUUCUUCGGCAUGCUUCUGUAAAUGCAUAUUUAUUUGAAGACUUGAUUUGACAGUACACAAUUAUUUGUUAGGAACGUAAACUCAGAGUAUGUCAUUUUUCUUUUAACCAAUAAGAACAUGGUUGAAAUCAGUUUCUUACCGGUGUCAAGUUGAUGUUUCCUCAAAGUAGUCAGGAAUACUUGCUUUAGUUACUGUGUGCCUGAUUCACCUGAACAAAUAUUGCAUUUGUUUUCUGGUGUUUCCUAGCAACAUUUGCAGGUGUCAUUGAGGAAACCAACAGUUAAGUGUCUAUGUUUCAAUGUAAUCAAAUCUGAUAUUGUUCCUGGGAAUAUCCUUUUGCUGAUUUCAAAAAGAACGUUAAGUCGCAUUUUAUUUUACUCACGUGUGAAAG